rnacentral:rRNA from 1 species
GAUGAACGCUAGCUACAGGCUUAACACAUGCAAGUCGAGGGGAAACGCUGAGAGAGCUUGCUCUCUUAGGCGUCGACCGGCGCACGGGUGAGUAACGCGUAUCCAACCUACCCAUUACAGGGGGAUAACCUUGCGAAAGUAAGACUAAUACCCCAUGGCAUUUUAUGGUGGCAUCAUUAUAGGAUUAAAGAUUUAUUGGUAAUGGAUGGGGAUGCGUCUGAUUAGCUUGUUGGCGGGGUAACGGCCCACCAAGGCAACGAUCAGUAGGGGUUCUGAGAGGAAGGUCCCCCACAUUGGAACUGAGACACGGUCCAAACUCCUACGGGAGGCAGCAGUGUGGAAUAUUGGUCAAUGGGCGAUAGCUUGAACCAGCCAAGUAGCGUGCAGGAUGACGGCCCUAUGGGUUGUAAACUGCUUUUAUAGGGGAAUAAAGUGAGCUACGUGUAGUUUAUUGCAUGUACCCUAUGAAUAAGGACCGGCUAAUUCCGUG